CCUACGGGUGGCAGCAGUGGAGAAUAUUGCACAAUGGGGGAAACCCUGAUGCAGCGACGCCGCGUGAGUGAAGGAGUAUUUCGGUAUGUAAAGCUCUAUCAGUAGGGAAGAAAAUGACGGUACCUGAUUAAGAAGCCCCGGCUAACUACGUGCCAGCAGCCGCGGUAAUACGGAGGGUCCGGGCGCUAUCUGGAUUUAUGGGGAUUAAGGGGAGCGUAGGCUGAAUGUGAAGCGUUCUGAGAAAUGGCAGGGCUAAACCCGGGCCUGGCAGGGCGAACUGCGGUGCGUGAGUCCUCGAGAAGCAGGCGGAAUUCGUCGUGUAGCGGUGAAAUGCUUAGAUAUCUCGCAGAACC
rnacentral:rRNA from 1 species